rnacentral:rRNA from 1 species
UAAUUCCAGCUCCAAUAGCGUAUAUUAAAGUUGUUGCAGUUAAAAAGCUCGUAGUUGAAUUUCGGGAUCAAUGUUUCGGUCAUGCCGUUGGUAUGUACUGAUAUUAUUGNUUUCUCACCUUCUAAAGAACCGUAAUGCCAUUAAUUUGGUGUCACGGGGAAUUAGGACUGUUACCUUGAAAAAAUUAGAGUGUUUAAAGCAGGCUCACGCUUGAAUACAUUAGCAUGGAAUAAUGAAAUAGGACAUCCGAUUCUAUUUUGUUGGUUUCUAGGAUCGAUGUAAUGAUUAAUAGGGAUAGUUGGGGGCAUUAGUAUUCAAUUGUCAGAGGUGAAAUUCUUGGAUUUAUUGAAGACUAACUACUGCGAAAGCAUUUGCCAAGGAUGUUUUCAUUAAUCAAGAACGAAAGUUAGGGGAUCGAAGACGAUCAGAUACCGUCGUAGUCUUAACCAUAAACUAUGCCGACUAGGGAUCGGAUGA